GGGGCUGUAGCUCAGUUGGGAGAGCGCAUCGUUCGCAAUGAUGAGGUCAGGGGUUCAACUCCCCUCAGCUCCACCA
rnacentral:tRNA from 2 species